rnacentral:rRNA from 1 species
GACGAACGCUGGCGGCGUGCUUAACACAUGCAAGUCGAACGGAAAGGCCCCUUUGGGGGUACUCGAGUGGCGAACGGGUGAGUAACACGUGAGUAACCUGCCCUUGACUUCGGGAUAACUUCAGGAAACUGGGGCUAAUACCGGAUAGGCAUCCUUGCUGCAUGGUGGGGGUUGGAAAGCUUCGGCGGUUUUGGAUGGACUCGCGGCUUAUCAGCUUGUUGGUGGGGUAGUGGCUUACCAAGGCUUUGACGGGUAGCCGGCCUGAGAGGGCGACCGGCCACAUUGGGACUGAGAUACGGCCCAGACUCCUACGGGAGGCAGCGGUGGGGAAUAUUGCACAAUGGGCGGAAGCCUGAUGCAGCAACGCCGCGUGCGGGAUGACGGCCUUCGGGUUGUAAACCGCUUUCAGCAGGGGCGAAGCUUGUGGUGACGGUACCUGCAGAAGAAGCACCGGCUAACUACGUG